CCGCCACACUGGUUACUUGAGACACCGGUACCAAACCUCCAAACGGGAGGCUAGCAGUAAGGAAUAUUGGUCAAUGGGCUGCAAGCCUGUAACCAGCCAUGCCGCGUGCACGGAAGACGGCCCUACGGGUUAGUAAACUGCUUCUCUGCAGGGGAACUAAACCCCCGUACGUGUACGGGGGCUGAAUGUACUCUGAGAAGUAAGGAUCGGCUAACUCCGUGCCAGCAGCCGCGGUAACUACGGAGGAUCCAAGCGUUAUCCGGAUUUAUUGGGUUUAAAGGGUGCGUUAGGCGGCUUGUCAAGUCAGGGGUGAAAGACGGUAGCUCAACUAUCGCAGUGCCUUUGAUACUGAUGAGCUUGAAUGUACUUGAGGUAGGCGG
rnacentral:rRNA from 1 species